UGAAAAUGAUUGAAUACAACUUCUGUGGUGAGAAAAACAACUUAAAGAGUAUGAAGACUGGCUAAAGUUGAACUUCAGGCCACGAGAGACGCUCAUAAGCUUAAGCCGUGAAAGGGAGUUGCAGGGAGCACUCAGAGGUCAUGUUUCUACCUCCACAAAGUACAGAAACAUACAAUUGUUCUUGGAAUGUGUUUUUUGUGUUCCUCCCAGGUGUAGCUGAUAAGACUCUAACGUCUUCCAUAGCUCUCCAACAAAUAGCAUGACCAAGUCAGUCACAACAGUACCUCAUGCCUGGUCACAACUUCUGUCCUAGUCAGCCUUCUAUUGCUGUGAAGAGCCACCAUAACCAGUGGAAAUAAAAGGAAGCUUUUACUUGGGUGGCUUGCUUUCAUAUUAGAGGGAGAAUAAUCUCCAUGUCAAAGGGGACAUCCUGACUUUCUAGGAUCACCAGGAUUACCAUCUCCACAAGAGACAUCUUCUUACAACUGGAGAGAAAUAAACUUGUUCAGAAUUUAAGAGCCAGUGGAAUGCCUUUGGGCUUGGGCUCACUGGUUACUUAAAUCAAAUCAUUUUCUUCUUCUGGAUGUCUUAAAUCCCAAUGAUCACCAUAGGACACAUUAGGAAGACCAUGAAAAUUCUGGAAGGUUCCAUAGG
rnacentral:lncRNA from 1 species